ACGAGUGCUUGGAUCAUCAAU
rnacentral:miRNA from 11 species